UCUAUCGUAUAUCAUCGCGACGCCAUCACCACUUUCCUCCUCACCUCAUCUCCCUCUUCCCCUUCCUAGAUCUACGAAAGAUGACAUCUUUUUCGUGGACGGAGGAGGAUGUGCUGCGGUAGCAAGCAUUUCGCCAAGGAGCUCGCCUCCGCCUCGCCAUUUUCUGACCUCCACCACGCAAUCCAAUCUGCCCGUGGGAUUUGGUUCAACAAGACCUCCCUACGCGUCUUCCGCCGCCCCCUUCUUCUUGUAGCCGCAGCAGAUUCAUUGUGACCCCAUCAUCGAACACUUCCUCCUCCUUCUGCCUCAUCACCGCAGAGCGCGCCAUUGGACGCGGAGGUAGAGACACCGUUUCAGCGGGCUUCAUCAUGCUCUGCCCUCCUAUUUCCAUCAUUCGCCCACUGCUCGGCACGAUGUGGUCGGACAAAGUAUACGGAUUCACAAGCGAUUGAAUUGGAUUACCUGUAGGAAAAUUUCCGGACGCCAUGGUCGAGUCGGGGAAGUAAUUCACGAAGCCAGCGGGCGCCUUGCCUUUUUGCCAAGAGUAGGAGUCGGUGCUAUCCGCGAAAUUGCGGAAGUAGGAAGUCACCGGUGAGUUGUUCGACGAAAUGUCACCGUGUUCCAGGCGGUAGAUCGAGAAGGCACUCCUGCUCAGGUUGCUGUGAUCGUUCUCCUGCGUGUGAUGUGAGAAUGAAUUUAUGUUUCCAGGCACGGAUUUUAGAUUCGGAAGUGAGGUGAGGAAGCUUGGCUCGGGGGCCGGCGGCAGCAUAUGCUCUUGUUGCUGAGUCUGGAAGAGAUUCGUCGGCGUCUUCAUCACCAGACCGGAGAAGUACGAGGGCAAGGGAGUGAUUGCGGUGGAAUUCAUCAACCCCGCCUUCUGCAGCAAGGUUGACCCGGAUGAGGAUCCGGAGAUCACUGGAGCUUGGAAUUGCUGGCUUGUGUUGUUGUUCAUGAAAGAUAAGCUUCCGAGCAUUGGGAUGGCGGUGCUGGGGUUACUCUUCUGCCCAGUCUCAGUUAGGGAGGCCGAUGUGUUAUCCAAGAAAUCAUUUUUAGCUGUGGAAUUUGCUUGGACAGAUGCCUUUUCCCCUGUUCCAUAGAGACACAUGUUUGUCAAAGAACGAUUUGUCGACCCAAAUCCAGCCGAUUUCUCUGUCGAAUUCAUCAAGGAAAUGGAAGAACCCAGAUAGAAAUCGAUGGCCGAGCCAUUCUCUACUCUCAAUCCGUCGAUGUUAUGAGCCGAUUUCUUGCGGCCGGACUUCUUGAGCUCGUAGUUGAUGUUAUGAGUGCGCAUGUGGAGCUGCAGAUUCUGGUCGCGCUGGAAGCCCUUGCCGCACACUGUGCAAAUGUACCGACCGGUGGCCAGUGGAUCCUCCGGCCGUAGCGCCACCACCUCUGCACUAGGAUCUGUUUACAAAUCUCAAGUACUCCAGAGUUGAAAUUGAUGAAGUGCGGUUCGAGUGGGCUGAA